rnacentral:antisense_RNA from 1 species
CUUGAUCGACCCCAGCCAGAGCGGGGUCUCACGGUCCUGGCCGUAGGUGGCCAGCACGGCCUGCGCCUC